CCUACGGGAGGCAGCAGUGAGGAAUAUUGGUCAAUGGGCGGGAGCCUGAACCAGCCAAGCCGCGUGAGGGAAGAAGGUACAGCGUUUCGUAAACCUCUUUUGUCAGGGAACAAAGGCUGGGACUAGUCCCCGGAUGAGGGUACCUGAAGAACAAGCAUCGGCUAACUCCGUGCCCGCAGCCGCGGUAAUACGGAGGAUGCGAGCGUGAUCGGGAUUUAGUGGGUUAAUGGGGUGCACAGGCGGGCUGUUAAGUCAGCGGUAAAAGCCCGGGGCUCAACCCCGGCGAGCCGUUAAAACUGGCGGGCUGGAGUUGGAGAGAAGUACGCGGAAUGCGCGGUGUAGCGGUGAAAUGCUUAGAUAUCGGGCAGAACCCCGGUUGCGAAGGCAGCGUACCGGCUCCACACUGACGCUGAGGCACGAAAGCGUGGGUAUCGAACAGGAUUAGAUACCCCAGUAGUC
rnacentral:rRNA from 1 species